rnacentral:rRNA from 1 species
GACGAACGCUGGCGGCGUGCUUAACACAUGCAAGUCGAACGGAAAGGCCCUGCUUUUGUGGGGUGCUCGAGUGGCGAACGGGUGAGUAACACGUGAGUAACCUGCCCUUGACUUUGGGAUAACUUCAGGAAACUGGGGCUAAUACCGGAUAGGAGCUCCUGCUGCAUGGGGGGGGUUGGAAAGUUUCGGCGGUUGGGGAUGGACUCGCGGCUUAUCAGCUUGUUUGUGGGGUAGUGGCUUACCAAGGCGUUGACGGGUAGCCGGCCUGAGAGGGUUACCGGCCACAUUGGGACUGAGAUACGGCCCAGACUCCUACGGGAGGCAGCAGUGGGGAAUAUUGCACAAUGGGCGGAAGCCUGAUGCAGCAACGCCGCGUGCGGGAUGACGGCCUUCGGGUUGUAAACCGCUUUCGCCUGUGACGAAGCGUGAGUGACGGUAAUGGGUAAAGAAGCACCGGCUAACUACGUG